CGGAGGUCCCGAGCGUUGUUCGGAUUCACUGGGCGUAAAGGGUGCGUAGGUGGUGAGGUAAGUCGGAUGUGAAAGCUCCGAGCUCAACUCGGAAAUGGCAUUGGAAACUACCUUGCUGGAGGGUUUGAGGGGGGACUGGAAUUCUCGGUGUAGCAGUGAAAUGCGUAGAUAUCGAGAGGAACACCAGUGGCGAAGGCGAGUCCCUGGAAAACACCUGACACUGAGGCACGAAAGCUAGGGGAGCAAACAGGAUUAGAUACCCUGGUAGUCCUAGCCGUAAACGGUGCGUAUUUGCUGUAAAAGGAAUCGACCCCUUUUGUGGCGUAGCCAACGCGUUAAAUACGCCGCCUGGGAAGUACGGUCGCAAGAUUA
rnacentral:rRNA from 1 species